GUGAACGCGCGGAAGGGUCCGCGGAAGAAGGUCCGACCGAAAACGUGCUGGGCCACUGCCGGGCACAGGAAGAGGAGCCGCAAGUCAAGUCGGAGCGGGAGCAGAGCCGUCUGUCGAGAGCCGCAAAAGCAAGCUAACAGCGUGAACCUGACCUCCGUUCCGCCGCUCACUCCGCUUGGCUUCCGCGGGCCCUGCGCCGCCGGGAUCUCUGCUGCCCCCUGGCGGCCGGCGAGCUCCCCCGGCCUCGUGGCGCCGCCCUCAGCUCUCCCAGCCAGGCAGUCCGAGCCCGACGAGGGGCGGCAGGACCGCUCGGCGCCGCUCAGUGCCCCUAGGCUGAUGCAGAAGAGGACCGUUCUCCUGCAUCCUGCUAAGGCCGGUCGUCAGAGCGCGGCCUGGAUCGCAGGCCGAGGAGCCCGCCGGCCCAGGCCGCGCCCGUUCCCGCCCAGCACACGCCCGUCACCGCCCCGCACACAUCCCCGUCUCCGUCCCGGCUCCACACGCCCACCUCCCGCACUCCCCCCCUACCCCCGCCCCCGGGUCUGCAGGACUCCCAGGCGCUCGCGUCGAGGGAGACGCUGCGUGGCGACCUGCGCUCGGGACGUCUCACAGCACCGAGCAAAGCAAGAUUAAAAAGUUGUCAUCGCGACUCCGAGCUGAUUGCGGAAAACUCCAACAAAAUCAGUCUCUGCGUUUUCCAGCUGUUGCCCGGGCGCCCUUCUAGCCGCGCGGACCCCGAUGUGAGCAGCAAAGCCCCGGGCGCGUCACUUCCUGCUGAGCUGACUGCUCACUCCUCCCGGGAGCACCCCCCGUCCCCCCACCCCCAGUGCAUUUGGUAAAGAAAGGAAUGUUGGCUUCCAAAUGGUGCUGGGACAGUUACUGUUUGGAGUUAUAUUCCUUAUCAAAAUAUGCACUGAAAUAAAUUACAGCUGAAUUCAAGGGUGAAAUGUUAAAUACACGCAGAUACACAUAAAACAAAGUAAAAAAAAUAUGCAGAUGAAUAUCCGACCUCAGAAUGCAGAAAAGAGCUGUCUAACUAUAAAAGCUGAUAAAAUAAUCAUGAAGUAAAAGAUGGAUAAAUGUAGCUACCUACAUUCAACUUUUUUAGCUUCUGGAAGUAG
rnacentral:lncRNA from 1 species